GAUCCUGGCUCAGGAUGAACGCUAGCUACGGGCUUAACACAUGCAAGUCGAGGGGCAGCAUGAACUUAGCUUGCUAAGUUUGAUGGCGACCGGCGCACGGGUGAGUAACACGUAUCCAACCUGCCGAUGACUCGGGGAUAGCCUUUCGAAAGAAAGAUUAAUACCCGAUGGCAUAGUUUUUCCGCAUGGUGGAACUAUUAAAGAAUUUCGGUCAUCGAUGGGGAUGCGUUCCAUUAGGUUGUUGGCGGGG
rnacentral:rRNA from 1 species